UACGUAGGGCGCAAGCGUUGUCCGGAAUUAUUGGGCGUAAAGAGCUCGUAGGCGGCUUGUCACGUCGGAUGUAAAAGCCCGGGGCUUAACCCCGGGUCUGCAUUCGAUACGGGCUAGCUAGAGUGUGGUAGGGGAGAUCGGAAUUCCUGGUGUAGCGGUGAAAUGUGCAGAUAUCAGGAGGAACACCGGUGGCGAAGGCGGAUCUCUGGGCCAUUACUGACGCUGAGGAGCGAAAGCGUGGGGAGCGAACAGG
rnacentral:rRNA from 1 species